rnacentral:rRNA from 2 species
CACAUGCAAGUCGAACGGAAAGGCCCUUUCGGGGGUACUCGAGUGGCGAACGGGUGAGUAACACGUGGGUGAUCUGCCCUGCACUUUGGGAUAAGCCUGGGAAACUGGGUCUAAUACCGAAUACACCUCAUGGGAUGCAUGUUUUGUGGGGGAAAGCUUUUGCGGUGUGGGAUGGGCCCGCGGCCUAUCAGCUUGUUGGUGAGGUUACGGCUCACCAAGGCGACGACGGGUAGCCGGCCUGAGAGGGUGUCCGGCCACACUGGGACUGAGAUACGGCCCAGACUCCUACGGGAGGCAGCAGUGGGGAAUAUUGCACAAUGGGCGCAAGCCUGAUGCAGCGACGCCGCGUGAGGGAUGACGGCCUUCGGGUUGUAAACCUCUUUCGCCAGGGACGAAGCGCGAGUGACGGUACCUGGAGAAGAAGCACCGGCCAACUACGUGCCAGCAGCCGCGGUAAUACGUAGGGUGCGAGCGUUGUCCGGAAUUACUGGGCGUAAAGAGCUCGUAGGUGGUUUGUCGCGUUGUUCGUGAAAUCU